rnacentral:rRNA from 1 species
CCUACGGGAGGCAGCAGUGGGGAAUAUUGCACAAUGGGGGGAACCCUGAUGCAGCGACGCCGCGUGAGUGAAGACGUAUUUCGGUAUGUAAAGCUCUAUCAGCAGGGAAGAAAAUGACGGUACCUGACUAAGAAGCCCCGGCUAACUACGUGCCAGCAGCCGCGGUAAUACGUAGGGGGCAAGCGUUAUCCGGAUUUACUGGGUGUAAAGGGAGCGCAGACGGCUGUGCAAGUCUGGAGUGAAAGGCGGGGGCCCAACCCCCGGACUGCUCUGGAAACUGUAAAGCUGGAGUGCAGGAGAGGUAAGCGGAAUUCCUAGUGUAGCGGUGAAAGGCGUAGAUAUUAGGAGGAACACCAGUGGCGAAGGCGGCUUACUGGACUGCAACUGACGUUGAGGCUCGAAAGCGUGGGGAGCAAACAGGAUUAGAUACCCCGGUAGUC